UGGACAGAUUAUUGUAUUCGACUGUAUUCACGGUGUGAAACUAGGGGAUUACACUGUUUUUAAACGGAAAGUGAAUCAAUUAACAUAAUAGACUCCU
rnacentral:pre_miRNA from 1 species